rnacentral:rRNA from 1 species
ACUCAAAGGAAUUGACGGGGAUCCGCACAAGCGGUGGAGCGCGUGGUUUAAUUCGUUACUAAACGAAGAACCUUACCAAGGUUUGACAUCUACGGAAUUCUGGGGAAACUUAGAAGUGCCCGCAAGGGAGCCGUAAGACAGGUGUUGCAUGGCUGUCGUCAGUUCGUGUUGUGAGAUGUUGGGUUAAGUCCCUUAACGAGCGCAACCCUUACUGUAUGUUACAUUUCUUACAGGACUGCCACGCUAAAACGUGGAGGAAGGUAGGGAUGACGUCCAGUCCUCAUUGCCCUUAUACCUUGGGCUACACACACGCUACAAUGGACGAGACAAACGGUUGCGAAGCAGUAAUGCGAAGCUAAUCCGAAAAACUCGUUCUCAGUUCGGAUUGUCGGCUGAAACUCGCCGGCAUGAAGUUGGAAUCGCUAGUAACCGUGUGUCAGCAAGGCACGGUGAAUACGUUCUCGGAUCUUGUACACACCGCCCGU